UUUCCGUAGGUGAACCUGCGGAAGGAUCAUUAUUGAAUUAUCGAGGUUCGAGGGCUGUCGCUGAACCGACAGGUUGUGCACGCCUGAAUGUAUUCACAGACAUCCAUCUAAAGUAUCUGUGUACCACCGCGUGCGUACUCCUUUGGCUGGUUCGGAGGUGGGAUUCUGUUCAAACACUAUAUCUGAAUGUAGUGUAACAAGAAAUUUUUCUAUUUGUGAUCUCGCAAUCCUCUCAACUUUGAACAACGGAUCUCAUGGGUCUCGCACCGAUCAAGAACC
rnacentral:misc_RNA from 1 species